AUCUCCCUGCCUGGUGCGCGGACCUUGUGCAUUAAAUGACCCUACAAUUUUUAAUCGGGAGUCCAGCUCCAACAGUUGAGUGCAGACCUCCCGGCUUUGGCCGGAAGAAGGGAGCCAGAGGCUGCUGGGCGGGCACCCACCUGUCAUUAGUAGGCAGGUCGUUUCAGCACACUUACGGCCAGGCGGGCUAUUU
rnacentral:other from 1 species